UCGCAGCCCACUAAGCUGACCGGCCUGCCUGUUGUGGGGGCCUGGUGUGCAAUGGCUGCGCACAGCACCCCCGCUGGUUGUGUACGUGCUCUGUGGCCUGUGUGGAGCACCUUAAGGGACUGCGGGGACAUGG